AAGCAGUUGGUUAGCGAAGGGAUUCGGUGCAGAUGGAUGGACCGUCUGGGCUGCGGAGUCCACGGGCCUGAAACGCGGUCGCUCCUGACCCGUCCUCCGCAACCCUCGUCCCACCAGGCCGCGGUUCCCGGAGCAGGCCGGCGGGUGGCAGGAAGACACCAGGCUGCAGGGGGCUGGAGAAGCAACACCCCUCUCCCUCCCCGCCAGAGAACUGGAGCGCGGGGACCUCGGUUGCGGAUGCUAGCUGCGAGCCGGGUUGCUAGGCGACAUCGUAGAGACGGGAUUUCACCAUGUUGGUCAGACUGGUCUCGAACUCCUGACCUCAGAUGAUCCACCAGCCUCGGCCUCCCAAAGAGCUGGGAUUACAGGCGUGAGCCACCACGCCCAGCCGGGAAGCUUUUAAGGCCGGAUGUGACACAGACCCAGUUUCCACGGAUGAAACCUGCAAGUGUGGCUGGAAAACAACCUGUCCGGCUGCGUCUUAAGGACGAGGAAGACGGGGCAAGGGUUUUCCAGCAAAGACGCCCAAAGCAGCUCGCCCCAA
rnacentral:lncRNA from 10 species